rnacentral:lncRNA from 1 species
CAGAGCAGGGAGACCCAAGCAGUCUACUUCCGAGGCAGGCCCUUCCCCGUGGCUGAGGCAGGGAGGGUCUCCUCAUGAGGACGUGGCUCUGCGACUUUACUUUCACUGGAAACGGAAGCUGUCUGUGUUUCCACCUUGCAUGCUUGUCGGGGGAUGUAGGGGCAGCGUCUGGGGUGCUGACCCCAGCCAUCGACGUGAGACGCUGGCCCUGCAGUGCAGCCCAGCCCCUCAGUGGUGAAUCAGUGCAUGUGGACACAGGUACCAAUAUCCCCUUUGCUUUCUUUUUAUGAAGAACUCUGUCUUUUAGGGAUUGUACUUACAUGCUACUGUCAGGGAGAUCUUCCACCCAUCUCAGGAACUGAAGGAUAAAUACUCAGCAACGUUUCAGCACAGUUGCCUCUUUUGUUUGUUAUAAAACAAAAUACAGCGGGCCAGUUUCCCAGCCAGUGGAAAAAUGCCUGUGUCUUGAUAGAAAUAGGCUUCGGUUUCAUGCAAAGGAAAUUUGAGCGAGGACAGGGCACACAGUCUGUACACAGCAGUUCCACGGUGCUGUGAUCGCUCUAAUAUUC